GGGCCUGUAGUCUAGUGGCUAUGACAUCGCCUCGACACGGCGAAGGUCGCCGGUUCGAAUCCGGCCAGGCCCA
rnacentral:tRNA from 1 species